rnacentral:rRNA from 1 species
ACACAUGCAAGUCGAGGGGUAGCGAAGAGGUAGCAAUACCUCUGUCGGCGACCGGCGCACGGGUGAGUAACACGUAUGCAAUCCACCUGUAACAGGGGGAUAACCCGGAGAAAUCCGGACUAAUACCCCAUAAUAUGGGCGCUCCGCAUGGAGAGUCCAUUAAAGAGAGCAAUUUUGGUUACAGACGAGCAUGCGCUCCAUUAGCCAGUUGGCGGGGUAACGGCCCACCAAAGCGACGAUGGAUAGGGGUUCUGAGAGGAAGGUCCCCCACAUUGGAACUGAGACACGGUCCAAACUCCUACGGGAGGCAGCAGUGAGGAAUAUUGGUCAAUGGUCGGCAGACUGAACCAGCCAAGUCGCGUGAGGGAAGACGGCCCUACGGGUUGUAAACCUCUUUUGUCGGAGAGUAAAGUACGCUACGUGUAGCGUAUUGCAAGUAUCCGAAGAAAAAGCAUCGGCUAACUCCGUGCCAGCAGCCGCGGUAAUACGGAGGAUGCGAGCGUUAUCCGGAUUUAUUGGGUUUAAAGGGUGCGUAGGCGGCACGCCAAGUCAGCGGUGAAAUUUUCGGGCUCAACCCGGACUGUGCCGUUGAAACUGGCGAGCUAGAGUGCACAAGAGGCAGGCGGAAUGCGUGGUGUAGCGGUGAAAUGCAUAGAUAUCACGCAGAACCCCGAUUGCGAAGGCAGCCUGCUAGGGUGCGACAGACGCUGAGGCACGAAAGCGUGGGUAUCGAACAGGAUUAGAUACCCUGGUAGUCCACGCAGUAAACGAUGGAUACUAACUGUUUGCGAUACAAUGUAAGCGGUACAGCGAA